AAAAAAAUGAUUGAAAUUAUUAAGUUUGUUUAUAUUAUGAUCUUCUUUAUUUCCAUUUUUUUUGUUGUAAGUGAAAGCUUAUUUAUUCCCGAAUGUAAUCGCACUGAAGAUUGUCCAAAUGUGUGUCUCUAUCCUAAAGUUAGUCUUUGCAUUUGGUGGUACUGUACUUGCGUAACAGCAUAGAAGUGUACGAUUGGGGCACCUUCAUUCUUCAUCUUCUCGAUCGAAUCCAUCCUUUGUUCUUUUUUCCAUUUCAUUUUCUACUAUAUUUGAAGAUAUUACUUGGUCAUAUUGAAUCAACUCAUCCAUAUCACUCACAUUAUGCAAAUGUUGUUGCCUUUGUUUCCUAUUAGGGAAUAAAGAAUGUCACAACAUAAUUAUAAUUGGCUACUUUGAUAAAGAAAUGUAACAUGAUUAUGUAAAGUGUAGUAGAUAAUAUAGACUAUAUGAUUACGUAAACUAAUUAUUUUUUAUACUUAAUGAUGUGCGAUAUAAACUAA